rnacentral:lncRNA from 1 species
AGACCUAUGUAACCUAGGCUCUGAUACCAACUUGUCACGACCCUAAAACUGACCCAGUCAUGAUGGCGCCUAACGAGAAACUAGGCCAGCCGACACAAUUCCCAAAACCAACCAGAAAUUUAAAAUAAGUCAUUUUAAGCCAUUCAUUAGCUAAAAUCCCAUAAUAUAAGUGCGGAAAUAUAAGACAAGCCCGACAUUGGGGUGUCACCAAUUAUGAGCAACUACAACUCGUCUAGGAACAAGAAAAGACAACAUUGUCCGAAAAUAAAAUAAUAAGACAAUCUAAAUAAGAUAGGAAGGAGAAGCACUGGGUUGCGAAUGCCAAGCAGCUACCUAGUCAACUCCGGAGACCUGCUGGAAGACUGAUCAGCACUCAUUAUCGCGCCUCAAGACUCCUGGAUUUGCACACAAGGUGCAAGGAGUAAUGUGAGUACGCAAACUCAGUAAGUAAUAAAAGUAAAGGCAACUGAGCAGUAAGAAACAGGUAAUUUCACGUCAUAGAACCACAACAAAAUAGUAUAUGUGUAGGAUCAAUACAGUAAAUCAACAAAACUCAUAAAAAUAGCUCAGUUCAGUAAAACCUUUUUAAAACAUCUUUCAAUAGUUUCAAACAAGUGAUAAAAACAGUGAGUAAAGGAUAGAAAUGUAAACAGCCCCUCGGGCAAAACAUGUACCACAACCGCCCCUCGGGCAAAAUAUCAACAGAACCAGCCCCGCGGGCUACCUCACAAUCACUCGUAAUCAGCCCCUCGGGCAAUAACAUGAAACAGCAAUAGCCCCUUGGGCAAUAUCACAUCUCCCACUGGGUACCCGUGCUCAUUGGGGGUGUUCAGACUCCGGGGGGGCUCCUACAGCUCAAGCGCUAGGGCAAUAUCACAUCUCACACUGGGUACCUGCGCUACCUGGGGGUGUUCAGACUCCGAAAGGGCUCAUACAGCCCAAGCGCUAUCAUAAGUCAUCUCGUGGCAUAUCAAAUCAGGCCUUCGGCCUCUCAUAUAUCACAAAUCAGUACACAUGCUGCGGCGCGCAGUCUGAUCCCAUAAUAAUCCUCACAACACAGGCCCUCGGCCUCACUCAAUCAGAAACCUCUCAAGCCACUCGGGUAACAGUAAACAUGAUGCUCAGCCCAAAAUAUCAUUUAAAAUAUAAAAACGGAGUAAAUACGGCUGAGUUAUGAAAAUAGUAGAAUACAGCAUGACUGAGUAUAAGUAUGAAGUCAAAACAGCGAGGAAUAGUAGUAAAAUGCCCCUAAGGGUCCAAAACAGUUGGCACGAGGCCCAAAUAUGGAAUUCAGCCCAAAACAUGGUAAUAAUUUUCCAAAGCACAAUGAUAUCAAACAGUUUUCAAUCAAAUACGCGACUUAGCAGUCAUAUGGGACGGACUAAGUCACAAUCCCCAACGGUGCACGACCCCACGCUCGUCAUCUAGCGUGUGCAUCAACUCAAAGUAGCACAACGAUGUAAAAUUCAGGGUUUUAUACCCUCAGGACAACAUUUACAAUCAUUACUUACCUCAAUCCAGUUCAAACUCUAGCCCGCGAUGCCUUUGCCCCUCGAAUCGGCCUCCAAUUGCUCCAAAUCUAACCAAAAUUAGUAUCUUAUCGUUAAUACGCGCUAAAGGAACAAAGCCCAAGCGAAAAUAAUCAAAUUACAUCCCGAAAUUGGACAAACCCGACCCCCGGGCCCACGUCUCGGAUUCCCAUAAAAAUUAAAAAACUAGAAUCCUUACACUCCCAUGAGUUCAUACAUAUCAAAUACAUCAAAAUCCGACCACAAACAGCCCUCAAAUCCCUAAAUCAAAGUCUCCAAUUUCAAGCCUUAAUUCCCCAAUUUUAGGCUUUAAAUCCCAUAAAUUUCAUGUCUAAUUAAGUAGAAAUUAUCAUAGAAUCGAGUAUUGAGUUCAAAAAUCUUACUUCCAAGUAUUUCCCUUCGAUUCUCUCUUCAAUCCCUCUCAAAAAGCUUCAAAACCGCUCAACAAUGGUGGAAAUAGACCAAAAAUCACGAAGGCCACUAUUUAAACAUUCUGCCCAGGUGUGAUUUCCUUCUUUGCGAAUGCGGUCAAAGCCUCGCAUUCGUGAAAUACAAAAAUCCAUUGACUAAUUAUUCCUCCUUCUCGAAAGCGAUUCUUCAACCGUCCGAGCCUUCGCGAACGUGACUAUACCCACGCGAACGCGAAGCACAAAAUCCUGGGGACCCAGCUGUUCCAGUUACUCUACGCGAACGCGGGACGUACUUCGCGUUCGCGAUGCACACUCUGCCUCACCCUUCGCGAACGUGGGACCAACAUUGCGAACGCAAAGGGAAAUUCUCCUGCCUCACUUCACAUCCCUUCGCGAACGCGAGAACCCCCUCGCGAAUGCGAAGGACAAAUCUCUGCAACACAGAACUGAAGAAAUGUGCAACUUCUAAAAACAAGAAUUUUUAUCCGUUAACCACCCGAAACUCACCUGAGGCCCUCAGGACCUCAAAUAAACAUGUCAACACAUCUCAUAAUAUCAUUCAAACUUGUUCCAACCUUCGGAAUUAUCACAUCCCAAAUUACUCCCUAAACGUGACUAGCACCUGGCUAACACCACCCGCUAGGCGAACCAUACUUUCAUACCUUAACCAUUAAUUUGUAAUAUUUAGUUAAUUAUGAGUAUCCAAAUAAUUUGAUAAUUAAUUAUCAACAAUUGGUAUCUCAAAUUAUUAAAUUAAAACUUUAGCAAAAAUUCUACACUAGACCAUGGAGCAUCUAAGAGAAUUACAAAAGACAUCAUAUGGAUAAAUGAUAAAGACUCUUUUGGCAACCUCUACGAACAAUGCGGCGGUUUACCUCAAUAACUGAAUCAACUCCAGCGAACUCGUCAGCUAUUAGCUCCGUCUUCACCAAUGGUAUCUGCAUAGACAUGUAGAUAAGGAGUGAGAUAUAUGUAAAUAUAACUCAGUAAGAUCCUCGACCCGCAACUUUAAAUACCUCUGGAACAAAUGUUGGAAAAUACAAACAUACCACAACAUGAAUGAUAUAGUAACUACGAUAAUUAUACAAUAACUCAAUAUAUGUGUAUCAUAAGAGUUAUUAAAAAUUAACCAACAAGGAUACCCACUAAGGACUUAUCAUAAUUGCAGUGAAAGAAAUAUACCAACACACUACGAGUCCACAAUGACACCACAAUGUCUCAAAUAUGUAACAGAGCAUACACAAUGCUCGGGUGAUGUACAAAGGCAUGCACAAUGCCCCAACAUCAUGGUACACAGUCAUAUCAAACUCGACAUCAUAGCGCACAGCCGUAUCAAACGCAACAUCAUGGCGCACAGCCGUAUCAAACUCAAUAUCAUGACGCACAACCGUAUCAAACUCAACAUCAUGGCACACAGUCGUAUCAAACUCAAUAUCAUGGCGCACAGCCGUAUCAAACUCAAUACCAUGGCGCACAGCUGUAUCAAACUCAAUAUCAUGGCGCACAGCCGUAUCAAACUCAAUAUCAUGGCGCACAGCCAUAUCAAACUAUAAAACUCAACCUAUGGCGCACAGUCGUAUCACACUAUCAAACAACUUAUAAAAUAAUAUUUGUUUUUUUCAUAAAAUAAUAUAUUUGCAGCUAGUCUAAGACCAUCGAUUCUAUCAAGCGCACGCUUGUCCCAACACAUAGACCGGGCAAAGAAAACAUAUUUUUAAAACGGGUUUUAGAAAAGCAAGAAUCAAAGCUUAAAGUAUCACUUACCUUGCUAACAGAAAGUUCCGCAAACCUUGCAACAUCUAGAAUCCCAAUCAAACGGGCCUCAAUGACUUCAAUCUAUGUAAAAUAUAAAUGAAUAAUUUCAAUUAUACUAGUGAGGUCCAAUUCUAUUCUUUCCUUAAUGUCAGGCUUAGAAUUACAUCUUAAUAUUCUACACCUCAACUCAUGAAUAUAUAAAAAAAAAAAUCAUGAUAUUAAAGUACAAUUUGGUACUCAAUAUAUGACCUGCUAACCAGUUGACUAAUCCUUCAGUUAUACACAUUCAAACACUAGUUCAACAUAAAAUUAUCUCUAAACAUAAUAUGACAGAGUGUUCUUUUUGCAAAUAUACGUGGACAUAUUUUGAAAUGUGAAGUUCAAAUCUUAUUUACAUAAGUAUAACUAAUCAAACAUUGUAGCAAAUAUCUGAAACGUAUUUCCUAUGCAAGGUUCCAAAAAAAAAUUAACUUUAAAAAUGUAACUCUCGAAAAGUUUUGUCUAUUAUUAAAGAGNNNNNNNNNNNNNNNNNNNNNNNNNNNNNNNNNNNNNNNNNNNNNNNNNNNNNNNNNNNNNNNNNNNNNNNNNNNNNNNNNNNUCAUUGACUAAUAUUUUUUUUGGUGGAAAAACUAACAAAUUUAGGACUGAAGCAUAACUUUUAUUAUUAAUGUAGUCCUAUCAAAAUCAACUACAAAAGAUUCCAUUAUAAUCAUAAAUGACCGAAUUCGAAUGCACCCGGAUACAUGGUUAUACGCUGAGAAAGAAUGUUCGAUCUUCAAAACAAGUAAUGGUAGAUUAAUCAAAAUAUAAUUAAUAUAUUCUAAUUUUGCGAUAGCGAUUCAUUAUUUUAUAAUCAUUUGAAAAUAAUUACAAGAGUAUUUUUUAUUGAUAAAAAAUAGUUACAAUUUUUAUUUGAAUCACGGGAAAAAAUAAAUAUGAUUCUCUUUUGUUAGUUGUUAACCGGAUUGUUUCUUCUAGAAUGAACUUAAGAAUAUAUAGCUUUCCAAUAAAAAUUCAGAAAAAAAAAACUCUUAAAUCUCAAGGAUAUGUAUUCAAAAAUUAAAGUAAUGUAAUUAUAAAACUGGGUAAUAUUUAAGUUGAGUAUAUAGUGACUGAGAUGAUUGAGGGUUUCUAUGAGAUUGAGUUUCUUCCUAUUAUCGAGUUAUCUAAAUAUGUUCAACAAUCAUUAUUUUUAGGAGUCACUUUUUCUAUUUAACUUCUGUCAUAUACCUCAAACAACCUUUUACUAAAAUACUAAUGUGAAUUUUUUUAAAAUUUAAUUUAUUGAGACAGGACCCAAAAUUGGCCUUGGCCUCCCACAUGUAUAAGCCCUUUGUGAAAGGCAUCUCGAAUUUUCCUUUUGUAUCAAGUAAAUCCAGAAAAUUGGUCUUGGCCUCCCAAACAUUAUGUGCCUUUUACUUUACUGUUUUUCCAGCAUUUGUGUGUGUGUGUGUGUGUUUGUCUUAGCUUGAGCACGAGUUUGUGUUUGUUUCUUGGUUAGGACUGAAGCUUGGAGCAGCAUAUAAGCUGUCUAGUUGUCCGCACGUAGCUUACUUGAGUUAAGCCCGUGACAAGUGGUAUACAUAUAUAUAAGGGCCAAUAAGAGAUGAGUUGGCACCUCUCCAAAGCCAAGAUGCACAUUUAUCUUUUUCUCAUUUUUUUUGCCAUUCUUUCCCUUUUUUUCCUUCCCUUUUUCCUUAUUUUUAAAAUCGUUGAUGUUCAUGUGUUAGAACUCCAAAUGUUGCAUCUUUAGCUGAAAGCUACCUCUUUAAUUCCUAAUAACUACACCUUAAAUGUCUCUUCGAACGGACUUUACAAAGAGUCCAAACAUUUCCUCUUUAUCCAAACGUUUUCUCUUUAAUUCCUAAAUAACUACAAAUGAAAUGCCUUUUAAUAGGCUUUACAAAGCAUUCAUCGUUCAAAGUUCACUUUUCAGUAUUAUUUAUCCACUAAUGAAGUUGCCCGCGCAUACAAGACAUCAAUAUUAAAUUUAUAAAAUGAUAUUUUCGACUUCUUGUUGUUGUUACUAUUCUAUUAUCGUAUUUUAUCUUGUGCAGAGGUUCUAUUCGGAAACAGCCUCCCUACUCCAUGGUAGGGAUAAGGUCUGCAUUACACACUACCCUCCCUAGACCCCACUUGUGAAAUUAUACUGGGUUGUUGUUGUUGUUGAUAUUUUUGACUUCUUGUGAAAAGAAGAAAUGAAAAAGUUUCAUGUAACCUUGACCAAUCUAUAACUAAUUUGAAUUAUUUAUUUCUUUUUCACUUUGAGUUAUAAGUUUGACUUUAAUAUACAUUCCAUCCAAUAUAAUUUGAACUAUUUAGCUAAUUUUUUUUUGUUUUUGUUUUGAAGGCUACUUUGCUAUUUGAAACAAAUCUACUCGUAUUUCUUCCACAACUACCUUAAAGAUGAAUUUUCUGGCCAAGAUAUAAUAUUUUUCAUAUUGAUAAAAUGCCUAGUUUUAUUUUUCAAAAUAAUAGGAAGCUGGAUUUUUCUCUUUGAUCGAUCAGAUCAAUUGGAUUAUCAAUUUCAUUUUCAAGGGAAAAAAGUUCUCUAAAACUUUGAAAAAUAAUUAAUAAUAUAGCUGCUGGUCUUAGGUCUAUAUAGAACUACACUAAAUAACAAAAAAAUCAAAAUCAAUAAGAUAUUGACAACAACUAAACUAAUGACAAUAUUUGACAUGUAAAAUAUUUUUAUGAAUAUAAAAUAACUGAAGAAACUUAUGAUAAUUAAAGUAAUUUUAUGAGAUAAAAUUCAGAUAUGACCUACUGCCUUUGGGAUUGUUUAUAUGAAGAAUCAAUCUAAAUAAACAUUCACCCAAUCGCUUAAACUUAAAAUAGCCCGUGGAUGUAUAAUUUGUAAAUAAUCCAUGUAUAAUCAUCAUCCGCAAAAAGAAAAAGACGAAAGAGAACAAAAAAAAUGUAAAAGAGAAAGGAAAAAACAAAUAAAUCCCACAAAUUAGACAUUAGCAAAAAAGACGAAAAAGUGAGAAAUUGAGAAUACAAGAGAUUAAAAAAUGUUAAGGUAUUCAAUAAUCUAUAUAAUAGUAGAGAAAACAUCAAAUAUCAAAUACUGCUCAAAUUAUAAAACAAAACGUAUGCAACAUUGAGUACCAAUACAAUAGUAUUAAAAAUAAAAAAGAGGAGUAAAAGAUCCCUAUAUCAGUGGUGGAAAAUGACAAAAAUAAGUUAGCCACAAUAACAAAGAAAUCAAUAAUAGAGAUUGAAUGACAAAAAAGUGAGAAUGCAAGAGAUUCUAGGAAGAAGGAAUUCUGAAAGCUACAAGUUUAAAGUGGAAAAUCAAAAGGCAGAAGAGGUAAUAACAAAUGUAUGGAAAAUCAACAUCAUGGCACACAAUCGUAUCAAACUCAAUAUCAUGGCGCACAGCCGUAUCAAACUCAAUACCAUGGCGCACAACCGUAUCAAACUCAAUAUCAUGGCGCACAGCUGUAUCAAACUCAAUAUCAUGGCGCACAGCCAUAUCAAACUAUAAAACUCAACCUAUGGCGCACAGUCGUAUCACACUAUCAAACAACUUAUAAAAUAAUAUUUGUUUUUUUCAUAAAAUAAUAUAUUUGCAGCUAGUCUAAGACCACCGAUUCUAUCAAGCGCACGCUUGUCCCAACACAUAAACCGGGCAAAGAAAACAUAUUUUUAAAACGGGUUUUAGAAAAGCAAGAAUCAAAGCUUAAAGUCUCACUUACCUUGCUAACAGAAAGUUCCGCAAACCUUGCAACAUCUAGAAUACCAAUCAAACGGGCCUCAAUGACUUCAAUCUAUGUAAAAUAUAAAUGAAUAAUUUCAAUUAUACUAGUCAGGUCGAAUUCUAUUCUUUCCUUAAUGUCAGGCUUAGAAUUACAUCUUAAUAUUCUACACCUCAACUCAUGAAUAUAUAAAAAAAAUCAUGAUAUUAAAGUACAAUUUGGUACUCAAUAUAUGACCUGCUAACCAGUUGACUAAUCCUUCAGUUAUACACAUUCAAAAACUAGUUCAACAUAAAAUUAUCUCUAAACAUAAUAUGACAGAGUGUUCUUUUUGCAAAUAUACGUGGACAUAUUUUGAAGUGUGAAGUUCAAAUCUUAUUUACAUAAGUAUAACUAAUCAAACAUUGUAGCAAAUAUCUGAAACGUAUUUCCUAUGCAAGGUUCCAAAAAAAAAUUAACUUUAAAAAUGUAACUCUCGAAAAAUUUUGUCUAUUAUUAAAGAGCAAGUUUAUUGUUAUAAUUUAUUUUUAUUCUCGAGGUGUGACCAGUAUAAUCAUGUCUGACAUAAUCCCUUUACUCUCACACUUAAUUCUUGUCACCAUUAUACAAAGAACUAAUAAGAAUAUCUCUCUUAAAUUAAUACAAGAAAUAUAGCUAUAGGGAUUAGAAUUGAUACCUUGCCAUUACUAUUGAGUUGCAAGAAUAUUUCGCUCUCCCUAGCUUUCAAGUUCUCGCCACCAAAUAAUUAGGAAAAUCCCUAAUGCCGUUAGCCCUAUAUAUUUUGUUGCCUCUACAUAAUAGCCAAAACAAGAAUAUUUUAAUGCCCUAAUGCCCUCUAGAUCGUUGGCAGCAAUUGAGAUGGGUUGACCCAGUUAGUUACUUUUAUUAUCUAAGGUCCAUGAUUAUUUAACUAUCAUACGUAAUGUAAAUUGGCUCACUAGAAAAAAACUAGUAUACUAUCUUAUAAAUCAAGGUAAAUUCUCUUCCACUAACUUAUUAUUUAAUCCAAUAACUACAAACUAAAUAAUUCUCUAAUUUCACAACUAAUGAAUAUGUAAUAAUAUAUUUUUUUUUCGGGUUAUUACAUUCUCUCCCACUUAAAUAAAAUGUUCGUCAUCGAACGAGUUAGAAAAUGUAUCUGACAUCUCAGAUAAUUGUAGGUACUUUAUGCGCAUGUAUACCUCAGACUCCCACAUAGCUUCCUUUAUGUGUUUGUUGCGACAUAACAUAUUCACUUAAGCAACCUUCUUCGAGCUCAAUUAUCACAUUCGCUUAUCAACAAUAACUAUGGGACGUUGUUCGUUAUUCAAAAUUUUCAUCUAGUUCCCUUCCUUAGACUAAAUUUUAUAUGACUUUCGUCACAAACACAUAAAACACAAGAUGUAUAACUGAAAGUCCUGAGGGCAAGGCAAGUCUAUAUGCCACUAACCCAAUCUCAUUCAUAAUCUCAUAACUCCUUUAUGGUAGAGUAUAUCCAAGCGUCAUAAUCAUAGUCCUACAGUGGAAAACAUCCACAAAUUUUAUAUACGGCAAUGUUAAAACACAUAACACUCGUACAUAAUAUUCUUGCGUACGGUAGUUAUGGAACACAUCCAGACAUCCUUAUGUAGAUAUUACAUGCCACAUUACCCUUGUCACAUAUACAAUAUGGGCGUCUCAUAAUAUUGCACUAUAUUUCAAGCAUAUCGCUACAUAGGCUAUUAUGUUAUAUAAUCAAUCCAGAAUGAGUUAAGCAUGCGAUAUCGUUGAGCCAAUCGUGAUCACCUAAACUAUAAUCACCAUGUAGACCAACUACUGAGUCUACGACGAUCUAUUUUCGCUUUCUUCCAGAGAAAUAUGUUUGCGAUAAUUUACCGAGUCUCUAACACUCACAUUUAGUAUAUUAACAGUUCAUACACUAAAGAAAAAUAUCUAUGAUAUCAUAUAUCACCCUCUACUGUCAUUAGCUCUCUUUCUCAAAUCCCAAUGCAUAUAACUAGACCUUGAAGGUAAUUAAUGUUUCAAGUGAUAUAUCUCAUCGAGUAUGAGUCUCCCUACGUCAACCACCACGAGUGUACACAUAUUGCAUUCUUUAGCCAUAAUAUUCUCUCUUUAUUCACUAUCAAGUAUAACUCGUCUCUAAGAGCUGAUCACUAUCUCCAAUAAGGUUAAGACUCUCGUACCGGUGAAUUUUGCUUGUUUGAAACAAAGAAAAUUGCAAUAUGGCACAAGCUAUUGCCUUAGUAGGCGUCACACCAUCAACCUGCCAACCUUUUUACUAGACAUCACAAGGCUCAACAUACAAUAAUACAAAAAUUAUAAUUCACAGUUUUAACCUUGCUAUUUAAUCGGAUUUAUCUCGAUGCCUAUAGAAACCUCCUCCACAAAUAUGCAUGCUUCUAUCAGCCAUAAAAAUAUUCUCAUAGGUCAAUAGUGAACAUGAUUAACAAGAAUGUUAAGAAACAGUUUCAAUAUUUAGUUCAUCUAGUCCAUGAUAAUUACUAACCAAAACAGGUCUAUGUAUAUGUUUCUAAAAUAUAUACACUUUUUAUCUUCUAGUCAUGAUGUACCAAUCACAAGUCUAGCUUAGAAUAGAAGGUAAUACCUUAUAACUGAGGGCACAAAUCAUCUAACUUAUAAAAUAUACUUGCAUGUCAUGACACUUUAAGUCUUCUAUCUAUUAUCGAUAAUUAUAUGCUUAGAUCCACUAUUCUUCUCGAAGUACAUAACUUAAGAGCAGCAAAGUGAUAUACUUGGUCUGAUGACUUCUUAAUUAUAAAGUCUUAUAUUUUGCUCUUUUAGUUCCUUUAACUCUAUAGAGCUUUUCUAUAAUAUCAAAAAAAUACAUAUAUAAAUUAGGCUUCUUGUGCUAUAUCCAUACCCAAGUCUAUCUCCACUUCAUGUGGUAAACUCGAUAGGUUCUCUGAAAAUACAUUUGGAACUUAAUUAACUGUUAAGACUAUCCUAAUAGUUAGGUAUUCAACACUGCUGCCCUGAGGUAUAGUUAGAUGCAACACAUAACCUUCAUCUCUCAACUCAUUCAUAAUUUUUUAUUUUUUUGAAGGAUAAUAUUUAAUCAUCAUUUAUAACUUCAUAUGCAACUCUUUUAGAAUGAUUAACAUGACUUGUCAUUACUCAAUUACUUUACCUUAUAGAAAGGUACAAAUGCCUUUAUUCUCCUCCGACUUGUUUCUACCUUUGGGGUUAUAACAUUGCUGAAUUUUCAUCCCAGCAUUUAGCUUUUAAAAUCCAUCACAAUUCCAAUUUAUUACCUUUAAACCAUGCUUACUCUUCAUUCAUGUUCGGUUAGUGUUGGCUCACUCUUUUUAUUGCUAGUUACUUCUUUUCGUUUCCCCUUCUUAAGAGCUAUUCCCGUAGUUGUCAUUGUAUUAUUUUAUAAUUACCUUUUUUUUAUUCCAUACAACCUCGUAUAUGUUGCCAAAUUGAGCAUGGGAAUUGCACAUAUAUGAGUAUGAACUCCCUGAAACAAGGGAAAAAAAUUUCUUAUGAAACUAACUCAAAAAUCCUUAUUCUUUCUUAACCAUGGUAUCAUCUCAUCAACAAAUACUUUUUUUUUCAAAGUCCAAGUGGUACAAAGUACAACGCUUAUCAAGACAAUUGUUUAAACUGAACAAUAUGUUUAGUAAUAUUCGUGCUACUUCAUUUCAAGUACUCAAACUCGUUGACAAUCUUAGUACUCUAUGUCUUACCCCUUUAUAACAUCUAUUACGUCGUGGAAACUCAUGGACCCUGGGUCCCUAAUAUCCCGCACAUCUAUUCCACAAUGCAUAACAAAUCAAGCAAAUAGUGUGAGGCCCUACAAUCCCAUGCGUCUUACUCGAAUUUUAAUUGACGAAGUAUGCCAAGAUUUACUGAGUCUCAUACUCAAUAACUUACUAUCUUGGUGUAUUAGAUCUCAUGCCUAAGGUUUUCUUUCUCUCACUCAAUAAUCCAAACUUAAUCACAAACUCCUACUAUAUAUAUACUUGUUAUAGCUCAUGAAAUCCUAUUAAUACGCUCACGCUCAACGCCGCAUUCACAUUUAUAACAUCAUUAUUGCGUUAUUCACUAAUAAUAGUAAAUCGCUUCAAAGCGCUUUCCUUAAAUUUGUCUUUAACCACCACACCCAAUAGCCUAGACAUGGCUAAGCUAUAUUACUUAUUACUUCUUCUUUCUUUUUCUUUUUCUUUUUUUUGCUCAACUCUUUUCCUCUCCUUAUUAGGCUCAUAAUGAAAAUUUAUAACCACAAACUCAAAUCCUGACAAGUUGCUCAUAGGAAAUAAACAUAUGCUUAGGUUACUUAACCGUCCACCCAAAUUUUUAUGAACUGUCUAAUCAGAACUAGAACCAAUGCAUAAUACAUUACAUGUAAUCAAGGCCACUCUAACCUGAACAUAUAUUAUUUAAAACUUCCAAGUCAAUUAUCUCAUACAGCAGCGGAGGAUACGCGUGUCCUAUCCAUCUGCGAAAGGGACAUUCCAAGUUUAAACUCGAUUUAACUUAACGCACGAAUAAGAACUGAAAGAAGGGAAAACAUCCUAGAUGUUUAGCAGCCUCAAGGUCAUAAGUAUGGACGUCGACAUACUCAUGAACAAGACUCUACCAAACACUGCUCCAUGACACGGGAUAAAAAGCCUAAGCUCGUAUACCAACUUGAUCACGUCCCAAAUUACUCACUAGACGUGACUAGCACCCAGCUAACACCACCUGCUAGGCGAACCAUACUUUCAUACCUUAACCAUUAAUUUGCAAUAUUUAGUUAAUUAUGAGUAUCCAAAUAAUUUGAUAAUUAAUUAUGAACAAUUGGUAUCUCAAAUUAUUAAAUUAAAACUCUAGCAAAAAUUCUACACUAGACCAUGGAGCAUCUAAGAGAAUUACAUAAGACAUCAUAUGGAAAAAUGAUAAAGACUCUUUUGGCAACCUCCACGAACAAUGCGACGGCUCACCUCAAUAACUGAAUCAACUCCAGCAAACUCGUCAGCUAUUAGCUCCGUCUUCACCAAUGGUAUCUGCAUAGACAUGCAGAUAAGGAGUGAGUUAUAUGUAAAUAAUAACCCAGUAAGAUCCUCGACCCGCCACUUUAAAUACCUCUGGAACAAGUGUUGGAAAAUACAAACAUACCACAACACGAAUGAUAUAGUAACUACGAUAAUUAUAUAAUAACUCAAUAUAUGUGUAUCAACAGAGUUAUUAAGAAUUAACCAAUAAGGAUACCCACUAAGGACUUAUCAUAAUUGCAGUGAAAGAAAUAUACCAACACAUUACGAGUCCACAACGAUACCACAAUGUCUCAAAUAUGUAACAGAGCAUACACAAUGUUCGGGUGAUGUACAAAGGCAUANNNNNNNNNNNNNNNNNNNNNNUCAAACGCAACAUCAUGGCGCACAGCUGUAUCAAACUCAACAUCAUGGCGCACAGCCGUAUCAAACUCAACAUCAUGGCGCACAUCCGUAUCAAACUCAAUAUCAUUGCGCACAGCCGUAUCAAACUCAAUAUCAUGGUACACAUCCAUAUCAAACUAUAAAACUCAACCUAUGGCGCACAGUCGUAUCACACUAUCAAACAACUUAUAAAAUAAUAUUUGUUUUUUCUAUAAAAUAAUAUAUUUGCGGCUAGUCUAAGACCACCAAUUCUGCCAAGCGCACACUUGUCCCAAUACAUAGACCGGGCAGAGAAAACAUAUUUUUAAAAUGGGUUUUAGAAAAGCAAGAUUCAAAGCUUAAAGUCUCACUUACCUCGCUAACAGGAAGUUCCGCAAAUCUUGCAACGUCUAGAAUACCAGUCAAACGGGCCUCAAUGACUUCAAUCU